rnacentral:rRNA from 1 species
ACGAACGCUGGCGGCGUGCUUCACACAUGCAAGUCGAACGGAAAGGCCCUGCUUGCCGGGUACUCGAGUGGCGAACGGGUGAGUAACACGUGGGUGAUCUGCCCUGCACUUCGGGAUAAGCCUGGGAAACUGGGUCUAAUACCGGAUAGGAGCCAUUUUUAGUGUGAUGGUUGGAAAGUUUUUUCGGUGUAGGAUGAGCUCGCGGCCUAUCAGCUUGUUGGUGGGGUAAUGGCCUACCAAGGCGGCGACGGGUAGCCGGCCUGAGAGGGUGGACGGCCACAUUGGGACUGAGAUACGGCCCAGACUCCUACGGGAGGCAGCAGUGGGGAAUAUUGCACAAUGGGCGCAAGCCUGAUGCAGCGACGCCGCGUGGGGGAUGACGGCCUUCGGGUUGUAAACUCCUUUCGCUAGGGACGAAGCUUUUUGUGACGGUACCUAGAGAAGAAGCACCGGCUAACUACGUG